GACGAACGCUGGCGGCGUGCUUAACACAUGCAAGUCGAACGGCAAGGCCCUGUUUUGGCUGGCUGCUCGAGUGGCGAACGGGUGAGUAACACGUGAAUAACCUGCCCUUGACUGUGGGAUAACUUCAGGAAACUGGGGCUAAUACCGGAUAGGAGCUCCUGCUGCAUGGUGGGGGUUGGAAAGUUUCGGCGGGUGGGGAUAGACGCGGGGCUUAUCAGCUUGUGGGUGGGGGAGUUGCUUACCCAGGCUUUGAUGGGUAGCCGGCCUGAGAGGGUGACCGGCGACCAGAGGCCUGAGGGAGGCAGCAGAGGGGUAUGGGGGGCAACGGUGGGAAAUAUUGCCCAGCGGGGGCGAGCCUGAUAAAGCGGCGCCGCGUGCGGGAUGAGGGUCUUCGGGUUAUAAACCGCUUUCGCCUGUGACGAAGCGUGGGUGACGGUAAUGGGUAAAGAAGCACCGGCUAACUACGUG
rnacentral:rRNA from 1 species